AGACGCGCCGCCGCUGCCAUGGCCCAGCCCCUGUGCCCGCCGCUCUCCGAGUCCUGGAUGCUCUCUGCGGCCUGGGGCCCAACUCGGCGGCCGCCGCCCUCCGACAAGGACUGCGGCCGCUCCCUCGUCUCGUCCCCAGACUCAUGGGGCAGCACCCCAGCCGACAGCCCCGUGGCGAGCCCCGCGCGGCCAGGCACCCUCCGGGACCCCCGCGCCCCCUCCGUAGGUAGGCGCGGCGCGCGCAGCAGCCGCCUGGGCAGCGGGCAGAGGCAGAGCGCCAGUGAGCGGGAGAAACUGCGCAUGCGCACGCUGGCCCGCGCCCUGCACGAGCUGCGCCGCUUUCUACCGCCGUCCGUGGCGCCCGCGGGCCAGAGCCUGACCAAGAUCGAGACGCUGCGCCUGGCUAUCCGCUAUAUCGGCCACCUGUCGGCCGUGCUAGGCCUCAGCGAGGAGAGUCUCCAGCGCCGGUGCCGGCAGCGCGGUGACGCGGGGUCCCCUCGGGGCUGCCCGCUGUGCCCCGACGACUGCCCCGCGCAGAUGCAGACACGGACGCAGGCUGAGGGGCAGGGGCAGGGGCGCGGGCUGGGCCUGGUAUCCGCCGUCCGCGCCGGGGCGUCCUGGGGAUCCCCGCCUGCCUGCCCCGGAGCCCGAGCUGCACCCGAGCCGCGCGACCCGCCUGCGCUGUUCGCCGAGGCGGCGUGCCCUGAAGGGCAGGCGAUGGAGCCAAGCCCACCGUCCCCGCUCCUUCCGGGCGACGUGCUGGCUCUGUUGGAGACCUGGAUGCCCCUCUCGCCUCUGGAGUGGCUGCCUGAGGAGCCCAAGUGACAAGGGACAACUGACGCCGUCUCUGUGAGCACCGAGGCUUUUUGGCCUCAGCACCUUCGAAGUGGUUCCUUGGCAGACUGCCUUUCCUGGAAGAGGGCACGGGCGAUCCCGACGGGGGCAUUCCUGCGGGCAGAAGCUGACGCACAGGGAACUCGAGGAACUUUCCAUAAGGCUAGUGUGCAGCCCCUGGGGACGGGCCAACUGUGGGCUGGUGGUUGGUGAAGCCUGUCUUUGCAAGAGCCCUGGCAGCAAGAGAAGGGGUCUCACUAUGUUACCCAGGCUGGUCUUGAACUCCUGAGCUCAAGUGGUCCACCCGCCUUGGCCUCCCAAAGUGCUUGGAUUACAGGAGCCCUUAGACUACCAUGUGAGAAAGGCUGUACUAGUCUGCAGGAGAGACCAUGAGGAAAACCGAGGUGCACUGGCCAAUAACCUGCCAACUGCCAGGUGUGUGAGUGAAGCUAUCUUAGAAGAGCUGUGAGCUGCCUGAAGGCACAUUUGAGAGCCCAGGUGAGACCAGUAGAAGAAACGGACUGAGUCCAGUCCAAAUUGCUGACCUACAGACUCAAGGACUAAACACUGACUAUUUUCUUAAACCAUUAAGUUUUGGGGUGGUUUGUUAUUUAGCAUUAGGUAAUUAAUAAGGUGUUUGGGGCGGAGCAAGAAGGAUUGAUGAGGGAGAGCCAUGCAGGGAGCCCAAAUGGAACUGGAGAUUAUCGAUUUCCAACGGUUUCAGGGGAGUUGAUCUCAUUAUUCUUUAUUACACACACACACGUACACACAUGCGCGCGCGCACACACACACACACACACAUUAUACAGGUUCAUUUGCAUGCAUUAGGUAUUUUUAAAUGUUUAAAAGAGAGAGAGAUCCCUGGAGAAACUGAUGGAAGUUUACUGUGGGAGAAAUGAGCCUCUUCUUGGCCGUAUGGGAUGGGAAGGAUGUUGUCUUAAUCCAUUUUCUGUUGCUUAUAACAGAAUACCUGAAACUGGAUAAUGUAUAAAGCAAAGGAAUUUAUUUCUUACAGUUCUGGAGGCUGAGAAGUCCAAGGUCAAGGGUCCACAGCUAGUGAGAGCCUUCUUGCUGGUGGGGACUCUCUAGAGAGUCCCGAGACGGCAUAGGGUGUGACAUGGUGAGGGAAUUGAGUGUGCUCAUGUUCUAGCUCAGGUAUCUCUUCCUUUUCUUAUAAAGCCACUAUUUCCACUCCCAUGAUACCCAUUAAUCCAUUCACCUAUUAAUCCAUUAAUGCAUGAGUGGGUUAAUCCAUUCAUGUGGGAAGAGCCUUCAUGAUCCAAUCAUCUCCUAAAGGCCCCAUCUCACAGUACUGCCACAAUGGGGAUUGAGUUUUCACAUGGGUUUUGGAGGGGAGAGUCAAACCAUAGCAGAUGUCAUCUGUGCUAUCAUACAAUUUUGUUAGAAAAAAUUGUAACAUAUAUGUGACAUUGGUGAUCUUCAGAAGCUCACCAGGAGAGUGAUGACUAUACAAAAGGUGGACUGUAGUCAGAGAGGCUGUCAGAUUUUACUAUCAAAUAGCAAUUAAAAUAAUCUGGCCAAUUAUUUACCCCGUCCCACCCUCAAGCUACUGACCUCUCAACAAGCACACUGAUGGUGGGUCCUUGGGUCCCGCUAGCCUCCACCAGAUGGAGGGAGGCGUCUGUGCACAGCACCACACAUUUCAUUUGGGAUUUCACUUGACCUUCAGGAUACAUAUUCUGUCCUUUGUGGACCGAGAAAUAUUUUAGGAAGUGAAUGCUUUGGCAGAAACAUCCCUGAGGAAGAGCAGCGACCCCAAGAGGGAAUCCUAGAGAAAGUAAUCACACAAGCCGGUCAGAAAACGGGGUAGGGGAGGAGGCCAUGGGCACAGGGGCUGUGACCAGCAAGUGUGUGAGGGACUUGUAGGAUGUGAAGGCAAAAUCAAGCAAUGAGCACCCUGUGAGAGAAAAUCAGUAAACCUAGUGCCCAAUGGGAGAGAAAAGCCCCCUGCAGGGGAAUGCUGCUGUGUCUGGAGAGGAAUUGGGGAGGGGGAGAAGCAAGAGCAUGGAGGAGGGCAGGGUCAGCACUGGAGUGGAAGGAAGCUACAACCCAGCCAGGGACUGAGGCGCAGCUGACCAUGGGAUGCAAAGGCGUAUGGGCAGGGGGAGGCACAGCUGUUUCAGAAAAGGCGGUGUGUGUGUGUGUGUGUGUGUGUGUGGCCAAACAACAAGAACUUAAUAUCCAGAAAAAAAUGAAAACAAGCUAUUUUGGUCAAGGGCUUAUGAAAUCAUCAUCAUUCUUCUUUCCUUGAAAUAUCUUUUGCUUCUAUAAUAAUGCUGUUGGUUCAAUAAGUAAAAUAAAGGAGGGUCUUUAGUGGUGUUUAUCUUA